AAACUCAAAUGAAUUGACGGGGGCCCGCACAAGCGGUGGAGCAUGUGGUUUAAUUCGACGCAACGCGAAGAACCUUACCUGGGCUCGAACGGCGGACGACGUCUCUUAGAAAUAGGAGAGUUUCCUUCGGGAACGGCCGUCGAGGUGCUGCAUGGCUGUCGUCAGCUCGUGUCGUGAGAUGUUGGGUUAAGUCCCGCAACGAGCGCAACCCUUGUCCUGUGUUGCUAAUCUUCGGAUGCACUCUCAGGAGACCGCCAGCGACAAGCUGGAGGAAGGUGGGGAUGAUGUCAAGUCAGCAUGGCCUUUAUGUCCAGGGCUACACACGUGCUACAAUGGGCAGGACAGACCGUUGCAAACCCGCGAGGGGAGCUAAUCGGAGAAACCUGUUCUCAGUUCGGAUUGCAGGCUGCAACUCGCCUGCAUGAAGCUGGAAUCGCUAGUAAUGGCAGAUCAGCAUGCUGCCGUGAAUACGUUCCCGGGCCUUGUACACACCGCCCGUCACAUCACGAAAGUGGAUUGUACUAGAAGUUCGCAGGCUAACCCGCAAGGGAGGCAGCGACCCAAGGUGUGAUUCAUGAUUGGGGUGAAGUCGUAACAAGGUAGCCGUAGGAGAACCUGCGGCUGGAUCACCUCCUUUCUG
rnacentral:rRNA from 1 species